rnacentral:rRNA from 1 species
CCUACGGGAGGCAGCAGUUUCGAAUCGUUCACAAUGGGGGCAACCCUGAUGGCGCGACGCCGCGUGGGGGAUGAAGGUCUUCGGAUUGUAAACUCCUGUCACUGGGGACUAACGGCCAGGCUCAUACCCUGGUUUGAAUUAACCCAAAGAGGAAGCAGUGGCUAACUCUGUGCCAGCAGCCGCGGUAAUACAGAGACUGCAAGCGUUACUCGGAUUCACUGGGCGUAAAGGGAGCGCAGGCGGAUUAGUGUGUCAGGCGUGAAAUCCCGGGGCUCAACCCCGGUACCGCGCCCGAAACUACUAAUCUAGAGACUUGGAGGGGUAAGCGGAAUUCUUGGUGGAGCAGUGAAAUGCGUAGAUAUCAAGAGGAACACCAACGGCGAAGGCAGCUUACUGGACAAGAUCUGACGCCCAGGCUCGAAAGCGUGGGGAGCAAAAGGGGAUUAGAUACCCCUGUAGUCCACGCUGUAAACGGUGCGCAUUAGGUCUUGGAGCUUUCGAACGCUCCACGGCGUCACGACUAACGACAUUAAUAGCGCCGCCGUCGAGGACGUACCGGCCGCCGAACGGACGUAAACCGUAACCGAAACGGAAGUUAGUACGGCGUCGAGACGUACGACCGACGGACGACCGACGAGGGAGGAGGG